UUGCUCCACCGGAAAAAGAAGAGUGGCGAACGGGUGAGUAACACGUGGGUAACCUGCCCAUCAGAAGGGGAUAACACUUGGAAACAGGUGCUAAUACCGUAUAACAAUCAAAACCGCAUGGUUUUGAUUUGAAAGGCGCUUUCGGGUGUCGCUGAUGGAUGGACCCGCGGUGCAUUAGCUAGUUGGUGAGGUAACGGCUCACCAAGGCCACGAUGCAUAGCCGACCUGAGAGGGUGAUCGGCCACAUUGGGACUGAGACACGGCCCAAACUCCUACGGGAGGCAGCAGUAGGGAAUCUUCGGCAAUGGACGAAAGUCUGACCGAGCAACGCCGCGUGAGUGAAGAAGGUUUUCGGAUCGUAAAACUCUGUUGUUAGAGAAGAACAAGGAUGAGAGUAACUGUUCAUCCCUUGACGGUAUCUAACCAGAAAGCCACGGCUAACUACGUGCCAGCAGCCGCGGUAAUACGUAGGUGGCAAGCGUUGUCCGGAUUUAUUGGGCGUAAAGCGAGCGCAGGCGGUUUCUUAAGUCUGAUGUGAAAGCCCCCGGCUCAACCGGGGAGGGUCAUUGGAAACUGGGAGACUUGAGUGCAGAAGAGGAGAGUGGAAUUCCAUGUGUAGCGGUGAAAUGCGUAGAUAUAUGGAGGAACACCAGUGGCGAAGGCGGCUCUCUGGUCUGUAACUGACGCUGAGGCUCGAAAGCGUGGGGAGCAAACAGGAUUAGAUACCCUGGUAGUCCACGCCGUAAACGAUGAGUGCUAAGUGUUGGAGGGUUUCCGCCCUUCAGUGCUGCAGCUAACGCAUUAAGCACUCCGCCUGGGGAGUACGACCGCAAGGUUGAAACUCAAAGGAAUUGACGGGGGCCCGCACAAGCGGUGGAGCAUGUGGUUUAAUUCGAAGCAACGCGAAGAACCUUACCAGGUCUUGACAUCCUUUGACCACUCUAGAGAUAGAGCUUCCCCUUCGGGGGCAAAGUGACAGGUGGUGCAUGGUUGUCGUCAGCUCGUGUCGUGAGAUGUUGGGUUAAGUCCCGCAACGAGCGCAACCCUUAUUGUUAGUUGCCAUCAUUCAGUUGGGCAUUCUAGCAAGACUGCCGGUGACAAACCGGAGGAAGGUGGGG
rnacentral:rRNA from 1 species